ensembl:lncRNA
AAAAAAAACAUAAAGGGUAACGCUGUUGUUUUUGAUUGGUCGUCAUGAAAAAAAAACAUAAGGGGGGUAACACUGUUGUUUUUUAUUGGUCGUCAUGAAAAAGACAUAAGGGGUAACACUGUUGUUUUUUAUUGGUCGUCAUGAAAAAAAACAUAAGGGGUAACACUGUCGUUUUUUAUUGGUCGUCAUGAAAAAAAACAUAAGGGGUAACACUGUUGUUUUUUAUUGGUCGUCAUGAAAAAAAACAUAAGGGGUAACACUGUUGUUUUUUAUUGGUCGUCAUGAAAAAAAACAUAAGGGGUAACACUGUUGUUUUUUAUUGGUCUUCAUGAAAAAAACCACAAGGGGUAACACUGUUGUUUUUCUUUGGUCGUCAUGAAAAAAAACAUAAGAGGUAACACUGUUGUUUUUUAUUGGUCGUCAUGAAAAAAAACAUAAGGGGAAACACUGUUGUUUUUUAUUGGUCAUCAUGAAAAAAAACAUAUAAAAAAAAAAAAAAUUGUCCUUCUCAAAUAAAAUAUAAGGGGUGUCACUGUUGUUUUUCUUUGGCCGUCAUGAAAAAAAACACAAGGGGUAACACUGUUGUUUUUUAUGGGUCAUCAUGAAAAAAAUCACAAGGGGUAACACUGUUGUUUUUUAUUGGUCGUCAUGCAAAAAGACAUAAGGGGUAACACUGUUGUUUUUUAUUGGUCGUCAUGAAAAAAAACAUGAGGGGUAACAGUGUCGUUUUUUAUUGGUCGUCAUGAAAAAAAACAUAAGGGGUAACACUGUCGUUUUUUAUUGGUCGUCACGAAAAAAAACAUAGGCGGUAACACGGUUGUUUUUUAUUGGUCUUCAUGAAAAAAAACAUAAGGGGUAACACUGUCGCUUUUUAUUGGUCGUCAUGAAUAAAAACAUAAGGGGUAACACUGUUGUUUUUUAUUGGUCGUCAUGAAAAAAACAUAAGGGGUAACUCUGUUGUUUAUUAUUGGUCAUCAUGAAAA